rnacentral:lncRNA from 1 species
CCAUAAAAUAUAUACAAACAUAACCUAUUGGGCUGCAGCAUAUAUGCACAGUCACACAAUGUAUAAUGGAAACGAUAGCAUGAGAUAUAUGAGAAGAAUAAUGACUCGUCUGGGUAACUAGUUUUGUUAUACCUAAUUCAUAACCACAUAUGGCCAUAGCAAACCCUUAAAUACCAAAAGGAAAGUAAACUCACAAAUGCAAUUAUAGAAGAUUCCAAGCAGUCUCUGCAUCCCAAUGUCAUAAAAAUUUGAGGGUGUUCAAUGCCCAUUGAUUCUUAACUCACUAAAGCUUUGAUAAAUCUCAUUGAAAUCUGAGCAUCCGAAAUCUUCUUAGACCCAAGUUCACAUUCUCUAGCUCUCUUGGACUCGUGAACCGUCAUCUUCAAAUAUUCGACCCAUCUCCUCAACCACUCCUUCACAAUCACGACUGCUUCGUCGCCGAUACCGAGAUCGGAUUCCGGAUCUACAACUACGACAUCUUACCUGAGAUCUUCUACCACGACUUCGAUCCACGCGGCGUCGCCGUUGACAUCAGAAGGUCAUCGUUUAACACAUAGAACCGAGCAGCGACGGCGUUUGAACCCUUCUCCGAUGAGGAGAGAGAGCAUAUGUAGGGGCGAGAGAGAGAGAGAGAGACAGAGAAGAGAGAGGAGAAUAGAUCUGGAAGAGAGAGAUACUGGAUAUGAAAGUGAGUAGGCAUGAGGGUAAUCUGGUCAGUACAAAUAGUGAAAAAGCUGAAAAUUUGAUUUUGUUUGUGGGGGAAAAAAAACUCUAGAAUUAAGGCUAGUGGGAUUUUUCCAUUCUUUUACUCCACGUGAUUUUAGUUAACUUUACCAUCAGAGAAGGAAACACCAAACCUUCCAGCUGCGGGCUAUAAGAGAAGUAAAGGAAGCUGAUAGAGUGGCCAUAUACAUGUUGAUUGUCAACCCUGCGGGAUUAACCCUCAUGUGGAUCGACGACUGUUAGACUCCACUGGAGAAGUUCAAGUCCGUGUCUCUUGUGCCCUGGAUCGACCCUUCAUUUUCAGAAGGUACUUAAGCUUGCUCGACCCCUGGUAUUGUGAAGAAUGUCAUCUUCUUUUAUGAGAAUUUGGUUGGCAUGUGCAUUACCUGCAAAUUAGUGUUUCAUCUUGAUGGAAUCUGUAAGCUGAAGAAGGUUUCUGGUCCCAAGUUGAAUGAUCUGCAAAAAGAGAAUCGGGUUGAGGCCUUGGUAAAUCUUGCAAACCCAAAUUACAACCAAGGUUCUUAUCGAUUUACGGGCACAAAGUCUGCAGCUACAACUCUUCCUGUUUUCUCCCCAUUUUAUGCCCCUAAGACCACUCUGAAGAGAAAACCAGUUGUUCUAAGGAUAUCAAAUGUGAUAGACUUGAAAGAAAUCGAUACAAAUAUUCAAGACCUUUUGUGUGAGAAGAUUGAUAAUGACUUAGAAGUUGUUGUAAGUGAAGCACUGGUUCAUGUUGUCUCCGAAGUCAGUAUGCAGGAAUAACUUGUGAUUCCUCAACCAAUGGUGAACUCAAGCAGCCUGGCAUCUAGUCUUGAGCCAGUUUUGGUUGAGGUAGAGAAAGCUCCAUCUGAUUCAAUGCACUCUAGAGAGCUAGGUUCUACAAUUGUGAUCAGUACCCCUUCCAAAACAAGCAGUACUCCACCUGCCCCUCAAGUUGCUCCUGCUUCUGAAGUGCCAAAACGUCCUAGGUCUCUAAUGUUAUCUCCUGCAAAGACAAUCGUCUCCUCCUCGGUAGAAAAGAAGUCUCGUGCUAUUAUCAGUUUCCCUCCUGGCACACUUGGUCUCACUCAUGGACGGAUAACAACUUGAUUAAGAAGGAAGCUGCUCUGCUGAAGCCAAAGAAGAAAACGGGGCGCCAUAUUGGCUCCAGGAACAGAAACAAAGCACCACCUCAGAAUUCUUCAGUUUUUGGAGAGGAGGUGUUGAGCAUGCUUAUGUCUGCAACUCCCCAAAGCCCUGAUCCUAAGGGCAAAGCUAAAGUGUAGUGGGUGUUUUUGGAGUUUGUUUUUAGAGAUCAGACUGUGGAAACUAGCUACAAGUAGAUGGUGCACAUUGUUUAGAGUACCGUAAUUGAGCGCCUUAGCUCCAGAGUGUGUGACCCUAGUGUCUUUUUGUACCUAGUUUUUUCUAUUCUCUACUGCUUAUAAUAAGUGAGCGUGUUUUAAAAUGUGAUGGUGCUAUAGAACCCCUUGCGGUUCAUGUAUGUUGUCAUUCUGACCUUCGAUCUUUCUUAAUGAAAUAAUUUCAGUUUGUCAAAAAAAAAUGUAUAUAUAUAUAAUGAAUGUAUGUAUCAAAUGUCUGACAUACCAAAAGAUCAAAACUUGUGAUAAUAAAGUUGUGGAAGCUUUAGUGAAAACUCUUAACUUAAAGACUUUUCGGUUUAUGGUUUAAAAUAC